rnacentral:miRNA from 1 species
AUGUAGGUUGAGCAUCAAAUGA